rnacentral:rRNA from 1 species
UCCUGCCAGUGUCUAUAUGCUUGUAUCAAAGACUAAGCCAUGCAUGUCUAAGUACAGCUCGGUGGGGUAACCUACCGGGUGAAACCGCAGACGGCUCAUUAAAUCAGUUGUGGUCUAAGUGGGCGACAGUUUCCUUAUUUGGAUAACUGUGGAAAAUCCAGAGCUAAUACAUGCAACUUAAGUCCUGAGCCAAAGCCCUUGUGGUGAUUAACUCGGGAUGCUUUUAUUAGACCGAGGCGCGCGCACACGUGAUUUAGCUCUGUGCUUCGGUGCAGUAGCGGUCACUUGUGUGACAUUGUAAGUGCUUAAAGGUGACUCUGGAUAACACCGAUAAGCGUGCCUUAACUGGCACGCUGCCUACUUACGAGUGACUGCCCUAUCAGCUAAAACGUAUGUUAUACGCGAACGUUGGCUAUAACGGGUAACGGGGAAUCAGAGUUCGAUUCCGGAGAGGCAGCCUGAGAAACGGCUACCACGUCUAAGGACGGCAGCAGGCACGCAAAUUACCCAAUCCCAGCAUAUGGGGGAGGUAGUGACGAUAGAUACUGAUGCGGGUCGUUCUUCGGAACACUCGCAAUUGGAAUGGCUAUUUUCUAAACACCCUAACGAGAACCUACUGGAGGGCAAGCCUGGUGCCAGCAGCCGCGGUAAUUCCAGCUCCAGUGGCGUAUGCCAAUGUUGCUGCGGUUAAAAGGCUCGCAGUUGAAUGUCAGUUAAUAUACGCGUAGAGGUGCCGGGACGUUGCAAGCUUCGGUUUUCGGACCUUAGUGAGCCGUCUCUCCAAGUGCAUCUCUCGCGGGCUAACAAUUCGAUUAGCAGGUUAAGAGUUGUGAUGGUUCGCUGUUACUUCUCUGUCCCGCUAGUUGACACCUUGAGUAAAUCAGAGUGCUUAAAGCAGUCGUUGCAACACUACGGCUGCGACUACCCUCGCGGGCAAGUCGUAUGUCUGGUGACGGCGAAAGCCGUUUGGACAUUGUCUUUGCUUUGCAUGGUACGUCGGAAGACGCCGUGUAAGUUGGUUGCGCUUACGGUGUGUCACACCUCGUGUGUGCGCGUGCACCAACGAGCACGGAAUGAUAUGAAAGGGAUGGAUCGAAGGCAUUGGUAUUGCGAGGCGAGAGGUGAAAUUCUAUGACCCCCGCAAGACUACCCGAAGCGAAAGCGUCUGCCUAGGACGUCUUCAUUAAUCAUGAACGAAAGUUGAAGGAUCGAAGGCGAUCAGAUACCGCCCUAGUUGCAACUGUAAACGAUAUCAACCAUCAAUCCGUCAAAGCGUUCCCUUGCGCUCACGGAGGCGAGUCCGCUCUCUUCGUGAGCUAAGUGUAAGCGCUCGAUGGGCAGCUCUUUUCGGACGGAAAACCAGAGUGUUUCGGUUCCGGGGGGAGUCUGGUUGCAAAGCUGAAACUUAAAGGAAUUGACGGAAAGGCACCACCAGGCGUGGAGCUUGCGGCUCAAUUUGACUCAACACGGGAAACCUUACCAGACCCGAACAUCUUUGAUGAUUGACAGACUGAAAGCUCUUUCUUGAUAAAGUGGAUGGUGGUGCAUGGCCGUUCUUAGUUGGUGGAGUGAUCUGUCUGGUUAAUUCCGAUAACGAACGAGACUCUCCCCUGCUAACGGACCUUUGGUUCUUUUAGACGGUGUGAUUCGGUGCAAGGACCCACGGGCGUAAGCCCCGGGACCGGACGAUGUCCACUGAUCCUUGACGCGUCGGUUGUGCAUGCUUGCGUGCGCGGCUUCGGUUGUGCGUGCUCGUGUGUGCUUUCGACAAAGCGUCUCGGAGUUCUUUUCUUCUUAGAGGGAUUGACGACUCAUAAGUCGUAAGAAACAGGGAGCAAUAACAGGUCUGUGAUGCCCUUAGAUGUUCUGGGCUGCACGCGUGUUACAAUGCCGGUAUCAACGGGUUAUUACACUUUCCGUGGCCUACUCUGAAAAGAGUGGGUAAACCUGUGAAAUACCUAGUGCGAUUGUCUCACGAUAUCGCAAUUUUGGCAUGCUUGGGACUGGGGAUUGCAAUUAUUCCCCACAAACGAGGAAUGCCUAGUAGUGGCGAGUCACAGAGCUCGCUGCGACUCUGUCCCUGCCCUUUGUACACACCGCCCGUGGCUACUACCGAUUGAGUGUACCAGUGAGAUUUUUGGACUGGCGAAC